rnacentral:rRNA from 1 species
AGUGAACGCUGGCGGUAGGCCUAACACAUGCAAGUCGAACGGCAGCACAGUAAGAGCUUGCUCUUACGGGUGGCGAGUGGCGGACGGGUGAGGAAUACAUCGGAAUCUACUUUUUCGUGGGGGAUAACGUAGGGAAACUUACGCUAAUACCGCAUACGACCUACGGGUGAAAGCAGGGGAUCUUCGGACCUUGCGCGAUUGAAUGAGCCGAUGUCGGAUUAGCUAGUUGGCGGGGUAAAGGCCCACCAAGGCGACGAUCCGUAGCUGGCCUGAGAGGAUGAUCAGCCACCCUGGAACUGAGACACGGUCCAGACUCCUACGGGAGGCAGCAGUGGGGAAUAUUGGACAAUGGGGGAAAGCCUGAUCCAGCCAUACCGCGUGGGUGAAGAAGGCCUUCGGGUUGUAAAGCCCUUUUGUUGGGAAAGAAAAGCAGCAGGUUAAUACCCCGCUGUUCUGACGGUACCCAAAGAAUAAGCACCGGCUAACUUCGUG